GACGAACGCUGGCGGCGUGCUUAACACAUGCAAGUCGAACGGAAAGGCCCCUUUGGGGGUACUCGAGUGGCGCACGGGUGAGUAACACGUGAGUAACCUGCCCUUGACUUCGGGAUAACUUCAGGAAACUGGGGCUAAUACCGGAUAGGAAUCCUUGCUGCAUGGUGGGGGUUGGAAAGCUUCGGCGGUUUUGGAUGGACUCGCGGCUUAUCAGCUUGUUGGUGGGGUAGUGGCUUACCAAGGCUUUGACGGGUAGCCGGCCUGAGAGGGCGACCGGCCACAUUGGGACUGAGAUACGGCCCAGACUCCUACGGGAGGCAGCAGUGGGGAAUAUUGCACAAUGGGCGGAAGCCUGAUGCAGCAACGCCGCGUGUGGGAUGACGGCCUUCGGGUUGUAAACCGCUUUCAGCAGGGGCGAAGCUUGUGGUGACGGUACCUGCAGAAGAAGCACCGGCUAACUACGUG
rnacentral:rRNA from 1 species